UUUUACAAUGUACGGAAUCACAGAAAAUUGUAGGGGUUGGAAGGGACCUCUGGAGAUGUUCGAGGCUCCACAACCUCUCUGGGCAGCCUGUUCCCAUGUUGUUUCACUCUCAGAGUAAAGAAGUUUGUUCAUGUGGAACAUAUAGCAAAUAUGACAAUGCAGAAUCUCCCUCUAUUGAAGCUCAGAUUUGAGAACAAAAUCGUUGUUAAAUCCACAAGUAGAAGAAAGUGAAGAUGCAACUGCGUAACAAUCCUCUUCCCAAAGAAAAGUCACCAUGGUCAACUACGAGGAGAAAAUAAGAUGAAUUAGCCCUAUAGAUAUAAAGAGCAAGAUUAAACUUAAAAUAGAUGGAAAAGAAGAAAGGAAAAAAGAGUCCAGAAGGAAGUUUAAUAAAAGUUAGAAGAAUGAGGAAGGAAAACCUUUUUUCUGAUCCUGAAAUCAAAGAGCCCCAUCUCUCUAGAGAUAGAACAAGAGGUAAUGGCCUUAAGUUGCAUCAGGGGAAGUUCAUAUUGGACAUUAGAAGAUGCUUCUUCUCUGAAAGAGCAUUGAGACAGUGCCCAGGGAGGUGGUGGAGACACCAUCUCUGGAAGGGUUAAAGAAACAGAGAUGUGGCACUGAGGGAAGUAGCUUAAGAGGGGAACUGACAGAUCAUGGCCUGAACUGGUGAUUGAGCACCUGGAGAAGAGGUGUGGCUGGCCUAGGAAGCACAGGCUAAGUGUUUGCACCUGUGCUCCCCAUGUAACCGCAAGAGGUGGGCCCAGGGUGGCUUGUAUAAGGGCUGGGCACUAGAAGAAGAGCAUCUCUUGGAUCUGGGAUGCUUCCUGAAGAGGUGUGCUGUGUGGUGAGAGAGCCUGUCACAGCUGGAACCGCAGUGCAGUGAGCAGCUAGAUGAUCUUGCAUAAGUGCUUACAGCCAGUGCUAAUGGCCACAGCCUGGAGGAAAUGGGCAUCACCUACAGCGAAUGCCCAGUUCCCUCAAACAGUUUUUGGUGGUGAAGAAUGAGCUGGCAGGAAGGACCUCAGCCACACCUCAGCUCCUUUAUGGAAAGCCCAGUUGCCUACUUAAACUCAUCUCGAUUGGAUUUGUGACUGGAUUUGUACCGCUUUGAGGUGGAAGCGUGGCCUUCCUGCUGCCUGCUGAGAGCCUCCAUGGGAGGGAUGGAGCAGCCAGGGGGACUCGGUGCUCCCCAGCGAUACUCAUCCAUUGAGGCUGGGGUGACACCUGCGUGGCAACAGUAAGGUGGGCCAGAAUGGGGGCAGGGCCUUGAGCAGCAAAGCCAAUGGGGAUUAGUUGUGCGUGUGGGAAUAACAGAACACUUGAGGAUCCAAAGAAGAAUUCAUGUGUUGAAUAAAAUGAUAAUUUCUUUGGAGAGCUACAAUUCAAGAGCAGUAUUUGCUGUGCGGUGGCUUACUGAUUUCAGUCCAGGUCCUGGUAGGAUAUCGGUGCUGGUCAGACUACAAGUUCUCAGCAUGGCACAGAGUGGGCUGUUGUGGGGAAGGCUGGCUCUCUCCUGGCCAGAACCAGCAUGCUGAGCAGCGAGAUCUGCAAGGAUGGGGGCUGAGCAACCUGCACACACUGAGUUAUAAAAUGGCCUUUAAAGUGGCGAGGUGAAUAACCAAGACAAGCAGAAAAAGAUUUGUGCUUUUAUUGUUGUGUACCCAAGGUUCAAGUGCCGCAUCAGUGGUGCUUCAGCCUUC